GCAUAUGGCUCAGUUGGUAGAGCGCACCCUUGGUAAGGGUGAGGUCCCCAGUUCGACUCUGGGUAUCAGCACCA
rnacentral:tRNA from 1 species